rnacentral:lncRNA from 1 species
CAGCAAUCUAGAGCAAGAAGGAAAAGUGGAGAUUGGAAGAAUCCAUAUAUCACCUUCUGUACUUAAUCUCCAAUUGACAAUAUCCAGGAAUGUUAUAGCCAAAUUCAAGAACUACCAGACCAAGGAAAAAAUAUUACAAGCUGCUAAGAAGAAGUCAUUCAGAUACCACGGAACUACAGUUAGGAUAACAGUAUCUGGCUGCAUCUACAAGGAAGAACCAAAAGGCAUGGAAUAUGAUAUUCUAGAAAGCAAGGAAACUAGGUCUACAACCAAGAAUCAACUACCCAGUAAAACUGACUAUAUUCUUGCAGGGAUAAGUAUGGCCAUUUAAUAAAAUAGAAGACUUCUAAACAUUCAUAAAGAAAAGACCAGACCUGAACAGAAAAUUUGAUGCCCAAAAACAGAACUCAAGAAAAUCACCAAAAGAACUUGCACAUGUAUGAAGGAAAUCUUCUCCUAGCAUCAUGCACGGAAUGUUGUUCUGCCUGUGUCAUCCCUGUGUUCCCAGAGCUACAUCACUUACAUCACCUUGGCUGGUCACCAAGUUACAUCACCUAGGAAAGGAAUCAGCUCCAUAAUGAUGGAUGGAUUUUUGUGACUGGAAGAAAAAGAUAAUUAGUAGUGACUUGAUUAUUGUAUUAUGCAAAAGCUCAACUUUGCAUUAGCGUGGUCUAAUUUUACAUGUGAGCCAUCUCCAACCCAUAUCAAGGCAAGCAUUGUCAAGGAGCCAUUCAGAAUUAAGACCAGAUGAUGUUGGAAGGAGGAUUUGCAAAUCCCAUCUUACCAUCCACUUGGAUCUUUUCUUAAAAGUGUGUUCUCUACACUCUGCCCAAUUUUCCAUCAAUAGUACCAUUAACCCUAAAAUCUAGAUGUGUAAAUGAUGUGUUAAUUGAGUGCCAUAUGGAUCCAUUAAUCAUCCCUGUGACUUUCCAAAAAUGACUUCUCUAAUCACUUCUCUAUAUAUAUUGUCU